UACGGCGGGGGCAAGCGUUGUUCGGAAUUACUGGGCGUAAAGCGUGCGCAGGCGGUCUGUUAAGACAGAUGUGAAAUCCCCGGGCUUAACCUGGGAACUGCAUUUGUGACUGGCAGGCUAGAGUAUGGCAGAGGGGGGUAGAAUUCCACGUGUAGCAGUGAAAUGCGUAGAGAUGUGGAGGAAUACCGAUGGCGAAGGCAGCCCCCUGGGCCAAUACUGACGCUCAUGCACGAAAGCGUGGGGAGCAAACAGG
rnacentral:rRNA from 1 species